rnacentral:tRNA from 1 species
GGCCUGGUGGCAGAGUGGUGAUGCAGCGGACUGCAAAUCCGCGAAUGCCGGUUCGAUUCCGGCCCAGGCCUCCA